UAUCCCAAAAUUUCAAAUGAAAUCUCUUCUUUUUCCCCCCUUCUUUUUCCCAAACCAUUUCUCCCCUACCCCGAUUCCCUUUAUUUUUUCCCCCACAAAUCUCUUCUUUUCUUCCCCUUCUUUUUCCCAAAAUCGGUUUUCCCUCUAUCCCCCUCUAUCCCACCUGAAAUAUCUUCUUCUUUUUUUUCCCAUUUUAUUUUUCCCAAACCAUUUCUCCCCUACCCCGAUUCCCUUUAUUUUCACCCCAAUUUCCUCAAAUCAGCAACCCUCUGUAUUUCCGUUGGAUCGUAUUGUGAUUAGUCUUGUUCUAUGCAAUUGUGUGGGGUUGGUGCCAAACUAGCUUGUUCUGAUAUGUCAAGAAGAAGAUAAAUAUUAAUUAGUUUUGGCAUUUUGUGCGCACACUAAAAAAAAGGGAAAGAAUGAGACAAACAUAUAACUACAAUCACCAGUUUCAUCAAUCUUAAAGAAGUGCAUUUGCCGUGCUUUUCCUUGUUCUCUUGCAAAUUUUUUUUCCCAAAUCUCUUUGCCCCUCUGGGACGUUCCUCUCUCUUUUUGUUCUCCGAAUGGAAUGCUCCGAAACCAAGGCACCUGUCUUUACUUGAGGUCACUUUACAUUGGAAAACUCCGAUUAAACAACAGUUUGAUUCUGGUCUCCCCUGCCAAAUCAAGGAUGGAAACCUUGCAUCGACUCUGUCGAUACCCCAUGACUCACAUUAAAAGAGCAAGAAACAUCGCAGCAACUCAUUGAGAUCGAGCAGUCAGAAUUCAGAAUCAAGUGACACACGAACUAGAUUUGGAGCUUAGACUGUCACUGUAAUCAGUAAAUUUUUUCUGCCACUUUAAAUGCAUGCUCAUGGAACUACAUUUUAUGCUUUCUUAGAAUUGUAAGUUCAAAUAAGGUGUUGAUCUUGCAAUUCAUACAUACAACUUGAGCAAGUUGAUAUGAACUAAUUUGAAUUUAUUUUUUUAAAUUUCAAAGGAAUCUUAUGUAAUCAAAGGCAAUUUGACUUGCUGCAUGAGAUAUAUGAAAAA